GGCCUGCUAACUCAGUCGGUUAGAGCGUCGUGCUAAUAACGCGAAGGUCGUAGGUUCGAUCCCUGCGCAGGCCA
rnacentral:tRNA from 1 species